UACGUAAGGUGCGAGCGUUGUCCGGAAUUAUUGGGCGUAAAGAGCUCGUAGGCGGUGUGUCACGUCGGCCGUGAAAACCUGGGGCUUAACUCUGGGCGUGCGGUCGAUACGGGCAUCACUAGAGUUCGGCAGGGGAGACUGGAAUUCCGGGUGGAGUGGUGAAAUGCGUAGAGAUCCGGAGGAACACCGAAGGCGAAGGCAGUGUCCUGGCGAGUGACUGACGCUGAGGUGCGAAAGCCAGGGGAGCGAACGGG
rnacentral:rRNA from 1 species